rnacentral:rRNA from 1 species
CAGUCGCCACGGGAAUACGAAGGGGGCUAGCGUUGCUCGGAAUGACUGGGCGUAAAGGGCGCGUAGGCGGUUUGCACAGUUGGAUGUGAAAUUCCUGGGCUUAACCUGGGGGCUGCAUUCAAUACGUGCAGGCUUGAGUGGGGAAGAGGGUCGUGGAAUUCCCAGUGUAGAGGUGAAAUUCGUAGAUAUUGGGAAGAACACCGGUGGCGAAGGCGGCGACCUGGUCCUUGACUGACGCUGAGGCGCGAAAGCGUGGGGAGCAAACAGGAUUAGAUACCCCCGUAGUCCCUGUCUCUUAUAA